rnacentral:rRNA from 1 species
UACGUAGGGUGCAAGCGUUAAUCGGAAUUACUGGGCGUAAAGCGUGCGCAGGCGGUUGUGCAAGACAGAUGUGAAAUCCCCGGGCUCAACCUGGGAACUGCAUUUGUGACUGCACGGCUGGAGUGCGGCAGAGGGGGAUGGAAUUCCGCGUGUAGCAGUGAAAUGCGUAGAUAUGCGGAGGAACACCGAUGGCGAAGGCAGUCCCCUGGGCCUGUACUGACGCUCAUGCACGAAAGCGUGGGGAGCAAACAGG